AGCAGCCGCGGUAAUUCCAGCUCCAAUAGCGUAUAUUAAAGUUGUUGCGGUUAAAAAAGCUCGUAGUUGAAUUUCGGGACCAAUAUGUCGGUCGUGCCUCGGUACGUACUGGUGUCAUUGGUUUCUCUCUUCUGAGGAUCCUUGAUGUCAUUAAUUUGGUGUCUUGGGAAAUCAGGACUGUUACCUUGAAAAAAUUGAGUGUUUAAAGCAGGCAUACGCUUGAAUACAUUAGCAUGGAAUAAUGAAAUAGGACGUUCGAUUCUAUUUUGUUGGUUUCUAGGAUCGACGUAAUGAUUAAUAGGGAUAGUUGGGGGCAUUAGUAUUCAAUUGUCAGAGGUGAAAUUCUUGGAUUUAUUGAAGACUAACUACUGCGAAAGCAUUUGCCAAGGAUGUUUUCAUUAAUCAAGAACGAAAGUUAGGGGAUCGAAGACGAUCAGAUACCGUCUAGUCUUAACCAUAAACUAUAGACCGACUAGGGAUCGGAUGAUGUUUAAUUUUUAGUGUACUUCAGUUCGGCGUA
rnacentral:rRNA from 1 species